AACACAUUGUUUGUCAAAAAGUGAUUCUUACGCUCUGAAAAGCAUUUUGCGCUCAUGAACAAGAAAUUUUGAUAUCUCUGUCAAUUUCAAUGCAAACGUGUUACUAAGCUUACCAAAGGGUUGAAGGGCCAAACUCCACCAUUUGGAAGUGAUCAAAAAGUGAUUCUAACGCUCAGAAAAGCAUUUUGCGCUCAUAAAAAUAAGAAAUGUUGAUAUCUCUGUCAAUUUCAAUGCAAACGUGUUACUAAGCUCAGCAAAGGGGUUAUGGGGCCAUACUCCACCAUUUGGAAGUAGUUUUGAGCAAAAUCAACAAUGUAAAGUCAAAAACACAUUGUUGGUCAAAAAGUGAUUCUUACGCUCUGAAAAGUAUUUUGCGCUCAUAAACAAGAAAUGUUGAUAUCUCUGUCAAUUUCAAUGCAAACGUGUUACUAAGCUUACCAAAGGGUUAUAGGGGCAUACUCCACCAUUUGGAAUGGGAAUGCAUUAAUUUUGAGCAAAAUCAACAAUGUAAGGUUAAAAACACAUUGUUGGUCAAAAAGUGAUUCUUGCGCUCUGAAAAAUAUUUGGCACGCAUAAAAAUAAGACAUUUUGAUAUUUCUGUUCAUUUCAGAAAAACAAGUCAAAAACACAUUGUUGGUCAAAAAGUGAUUCUUACGCUCUGAAAAGCAUUUUGCGCUCAUGAACAAGAAAUUUUGAUAUCUCUGUCAAUUUCAAUGCAAACGUGUUACUAAGCUUACCAAAGGGUUGAAGGGCCAAUCUCCACCAUUUGGAAGUGAUCAAAAAGUGAUUCUAACGCUCUGAAAAGCUCAUAAAAACAAGAAAUGUUGAUAUCUCUGUCAAUUUCAAUGCAAACGUGUUACUAAGCUCAGCAAAGGGUUAGAGGGCCAUACUCCACCAUUUGGAAGUAGUUUUGAGCAAAAUCAACCAUAUAAAGUUAAAAACACAUUGUUGGUCAAAAAGUGAAUCUUACGCUCUGAAAAGCAUUUUGCGCACAUAAAAACAAGAAAUGUUGAUAUCUCUGUCAAUUUCAAUGCAAACGUGUUACUAAGCUUACCAAAGGGUUGAAGGGCCAAACUCCACCAUUUGGAAGUGAUCAAAAAGUGAUUCUAACGCUCUGAAAAGCAUUUUGCUCUCAUAAACAAGAAAUGUUGAUAUCUCUGUCAAUUUCAAUGCAAACGUGUUACUAAGCUUACCAAAGGGUUAUAGGGGCAUGCUCCACUAUUUGGAAGUGGAAUACAUUAGUUUUGAGAAAAAUCAACAAUGUAAGGUCGAAAACACAUUGUUGGUCAAAAAGUGAUUCUAGCGCUUUGAAAAGCAUUUUGCAUGCGUAAAAACAAAAAAUGUUGAUAUCUCUGUCAAUUUCAAUGCAAACGUGUUACUAAGCUUACCAAAGGGUUUAUAGGGCCAUACUCCACCAUUUGGAAGUGGAAUACAUUAGUUUUGAGCAAAAUCAACAAUGUAAGGUCAGAAACAUAUUGUUGGUCAAAUAGUGAUUCUAGCUCUAUGAAAAAUAUUUUGCAUGCGUAAAAAUAAAAAAUGUUGAUAUCUCUGUCAAUUUCAAUGCAAACGUGUUACUAAGCUUACCAAAGGGCUAUAGGGCCAUACUCCACCAUUUGGAAGUGGAAUGCAUUAGUUUUGAACAAAAUCAACAAUGUAAGGUUAAAAACACAUUGUUGGUCAAAAAGUUAUUCUAGCGCUCUGAAAAAUAUUUGGCACGCAUAAAAACAAGAAAUUUUGAUAUUUCUGUUCAUUUCAGAAAAACAAGUCAAAAACACAUUGUUGGUCAUAAAGUGAUUCUAGCGCUCUGAAAAGCAUUUUGCACGCAUAAAAACAAGAAAUGUUGAUAUCUGUCAAUUUCAAUUUAAACUUGUUACUAAGCUUACCAAAGGGUUAUAGGGCCAUGCUCCACUAUUUGGAAGUGGAAAACAUUAGUUUUGAGAAAAAUCAACAAUGUAAGGUCAAAAACACAUUGUUGGUCAAAAAGUGAUUCUAGCGCUUUGAAAAGGAUUUUGCAUGCGUAAAAACAAAAAAUGUUGAUAUCUCUGUCAAUUUCAAUGCAAACGUGUUACUAAGCUUACCAAAGGGCUAUAGGGCCAUACUCCACUAUUUGGAACUGGAAUACAUUAGUUUUGAGCAAAAUCAACAAUGUAAGGUUAAAAACAAAUUGUUGGUCAAAAAGUGAUUCUGGCGCUCUGAAAAGCAUUUGGCACGAUAAAAACAAGAAAUGUUGAUUUUUCUGUUCAUUUCAGAAAAACAAGUCAAAAACACAUUGUUGGUCAAAAAGUGAUUCUAGCGCUCUGAAAAGCAUUUUGCACGCAUAAAAACAAGAAAUGUUGAUAUCUCUGUCAAUUUCAAUGCAAAC